rnacentral:rRNA from 1 species
AUUGAACGCUGGCGGCAGGCCUAACACAUGCAAGUCGAGCGGAAACAGGAAGAUCUUUCCUUCCUUGCGGUCGCGUCGGGCGGGUGAGUGACACGUCUGUGACACAGCUUGAUGGCUGGGGUUACGUCGUGGAACCGGUACCUAUACCCGAUUAUAUAUUGAACCGCAUGGUUCAAUAGCUUAAGGCCUUUCUGCUUUCACUUAGACAUGGAUCCAGGUCGGAUUAGCUAGGUGGUAGGGUAACGGCGUACCAAGGCGACGAUGCGUAGCUGAUCUGAGAGGAUGAUCAGCCACACUGGAACUGAGACACGGUCCAGACUCCUACGGGAGGCAGCAGUGGGGAAUAUUGCACAAUGGGCGAAAGCCUGAUGCAGCCAUGCCGCGUGUGUGAAGAAGGUCUUCGGAUUGUAAAGCACUUUCAGCAGGGAGGAAGGGAGGUAAGUGAAUACCUUCACGCAUUGACGUUACCCACAGAAAAAGCACCGGCUAACUCCGUG